AUUGAACGCUGGCGGCAGGCCUAACACAUGCAAGUCGAGCGGAGCGGCGGACGGGUGCGUAAUGCCUAGGAAUCUGCCUGGUAGUGGGGGAUAACGUCCGGAAACGGGCGCUAAUACCGCAUCCUAUCAGAUUAGCCUAGGUCGGAUUAGCUAGUAGGUGGGGUAAUGGCUCACCUAGGCGACGAUCCCUAGCUGGUCUGAGAGGAUGACCAGCCACACGGGAAAUGAGACACGGUCCAGACGCCGACGGGAGGCAGCAGUGGGGAAUAUUGCACAAUGGGCGCAAGCCUGAUGCAGCCAUGCCGCGUGUAUGAAGAAGGCCUUCGGGUUGUAAAGUACUUUCAGCGGGGAGGCGUUACCCGCAGAAGAAGCACCGGCUAACUCCGUGCCAGCAGCCGCGGUAAUUC
rnacentral:rRNA from 1 species